CUUUGUAUAAUCAAAUUGACAGAGUUUUGGCGCUUUUGAACUUAUGUAUUUCUAUCUACAAUCUUCAAGUCUUCACUCCUUUAUAUAGAGGCGUGAAAGAGACGUUGAGAUAAUCAGCACGUCUAAAGAGUCGUUUGAAAUCCUUUGAUUAUCCACCAGUGAUCCUUUGCCUGAUUUGGGUGUAGUCCUUUGAAGAAUAAGCUUCAAAUUCAUUCCCAUCUUGAACGUACAAAUUCUGCAGGCAUGGCUGUUGUUUUGUCUUGUAGCGUAGACAGAAAACAGAGUAGUGGAGGUAGUGGUUGUACACUUGUACUUUGUCAACUCUAUUAACGAGAGACAAGUGCUCAGUGCUAUCCAUAUAUCCGUUGAUACCUCCCUUUCAAUUCUUCGUUCUUCUUGGAUAAGACUGAAUUGAG
rnacentral:lncRNA from 1 species